CGGGGAUCUGUGUCAGCUGUUGGACACUGCCCAAGAUUAGUGUACUUACUCUUGUGCGUGUGACAGCGGCUAUCACGGAUCCCUAGAUUCGUCCA
rfam:Rhodnius prolixus Rhodnius_prolixus-3.0.3-644.6, whole genome shotgun sequence.